UGGCUCUUCUGUUCUCACGGAGAUCAGGAGUUUGGAUUUUAUUCUGAUUGUGAUGGGGAAUCACCCGAGGGUUUUACGCAGGGACAAAGCUUGAUCCUACUUACACUUUUAAACAGAUUAUCCUGCUGUGUGGAGGAUGGAUUGUAGGAGAGCAGAGUAGAAGCAGGAAGACGAGGUGGAUCGGACCAAGAUGGAUCUUACAAAGACACGACGACUGAAAGAAGCCAGGGACGAAAGAGCACAUCCCAUUUGCUUCCAUCUGUAUCAAGUACACGAACAGAGCACAGGCUCCGGACGCGCAGGCCCAGCGGCCAUGGCUCACGGGCCCAGCCGCUCCGCGGCAUAUGGGAUCCUCCCAGACCGGGGCAC